CCUACGGGAGGCAGCAGUGAGGAAUAUUGGUCAAUGGACGAGAGUCUGAACCAGCCAAGUAGCGUGAAGGAUGACUGCCCUAUGGGUUGUAAACUUCUUUUAUAUGGGAAUAAAAUGUUCCACGUGUGGGUUUUUGUAUGUACCAUAUGAAUAAGGAUCGGCUCACUCCGUGCCAGCAGCCGCGGUAAUACGGAGGAUCCGAGCGUUAGCCGGAUUUAUUGGGUUUAAAGGGAGCGUAGGUGGUUGGUUAAGUCAGUUGUGAAAGUUUGCGGCUCAACCGUAAAAUUGCAGUGGAAACUGGCAGUCUUGAGUACAGUAGAGGUGGGCGGAAUUCGUGGUGUAGCGGUGAAAUGCUUAGAUAUCACGAAGAACUCCGAUUGCGAAGGCAGCUCGCUGGACUGCAACUGACGCUGAGGCUCGAAAGUGUGGGGAUCAAACAGGAUUAGAUACCCCAGUAGUC
rnacentral:rRNA from 1 species